rnacentral:miRNA from 1 species
GUUUGGCCAAAAAGUUCGUUCGGGCUUUUCUGUACAAUGUUACGCAAAAACCCAAACAAAAUUUUUGGCCAAAC